UUUGAUGAAAAAAUUCUCUCACUUAACCGCGUAUUAGGCGGUAACCACUACCCACCUAAGUAGGGGAAUACUCGCUCGAGUUUGAGCAAAUUCUCAACCGUAUCUCACGGUUUGCACCGUGCUUGAAUUUGCUAGGGGUGACACAAUUCUGGAAUUUCAAGCUGCUAAUUGACGCAAACUCCAUACUCGAUCGGUUGAUUUUCUUCUGCAAAUUACUCAAGACUGCAUAAGCAAGGAAGGGGAGCAGGGGAGCAAAGCAUAGCAAUGGUUGCAGAGCCUUGAUUACUCUAAAAUUCUUAACGGGGAAUCAUG